rnacentral:rRNA from 1 species
UCAGGAUGAACGCUAGCGGCAGGCUUAACACAUGCAAGGUCGAGGGGCAUCGGGAGUAGCAAUACUGCCGGCGACCGGCGCAAGGGUGCGUAACGCGUGAGCAACAUGCCCGUAUCAGGGGGAUAAUCCAUGGAAACGUGGUCUAAUACCCCAUAGUAAUUAUGUAAGGCAUCUUAUAUAAUUUAAAGCUUUGGUGGAUACGGAUUGGCUCGCGUGACAUUAGCUAGAUGGUAAGGUAACGGCUUACCAUGGCUACGAUGUCUAGGGGUUCUGAGAGGAAGGUCCCCCCACACUGGAACUGAGACACGGUCCAGACUCCUACGGGAGGCAGCAGUGAGGAAUAUUGGACAAUGGAUGGAAAUCUGAUCCAGCCAUGCCGCGUGCAGGGAAAGACGGCCCUAUGGGUUGUAAACUGCUUUUGUAUGGGAGCAAUAAGGGCUACGCGUAGUCCGAUGAGAGUACCAUACGAAUAAGCACCAGCUAACUCCGUGCCAGCCGCAGC